rnacentral:lncRNA from 1 species
ACUGCCCAACUUUGGGAUAACGGGGAUAGAAACACCAAGUCUUUACCUAAGCCUACUAGCUCUGUACAGGGAGGCCUUUACAACCUCAGAACUGAGGAUGAUCUUCAUGCUAAAAUGGCAGCCCUUACUAGGAAGGUAGAAGAAAUUGAGCUUAGGAAGGUUAGGCCUGUCAAGACUAUAGAGCUUAGAAACGAGUGUUGUG